rnacentral:rRNA from 1 species
GACGGAGGAUGCAAGCGUUAUCCGGAAUGAUUGGGCGUAAAGCGUCCGCAGGUGGCAGUUCAAGUCUGCUGUCAAAGACCGGGGCUUAACUUCGGAAAGGCAGUGGAAACUGAACAGCUAGAGUAUGGUAGGGGCAGAGGGAAUUCCUGGUGUAGCGGUGAAAUGCGUAGAUAUCAGGAAGAACAUCGGUGGCGAAGGCGGGUCUCUGGGCCGAUACUGACGCUGAGGAGCGAAAGCGUGGGGAGCGAACAGG